CAGAUUGUAAGCAGGCUGUGUAGCAACAAGUCAUGUGACACAGAGCUGCAGAAGAGCUAAGAAGGUAGCAGUACUUCCAUCAUGUUAUUGGUCCCUGGGUAACAGCAGCAUUUUUCCGACUCAUGGCACUAGUUGUAUUGGUGAAAUGGCAUCUACCACCUGCUUCCUCCCUGGAAUGUCUCCAGCCCUUUUAAAGUUUUGAGUUUGAGGUGAAGAUAAGGAGCUGAGACAAGGGAAAAAGCCUAGCCACCUAUUAAAUCGGAGCCAACGAGAGACUAAAUACAUGAAAAGAACAACCUAAUAAACACAAUAAAGAGCAUAACACAGCC
ensembl:lincRNA